AAGGGUAUAGCUCAGUGGUAGAGCACAUGCCUAGCAUGCCUGAGGUCCUGGGGUCAAUCUCCAGUACCUCCA
rnacentral:tRNA from 1 species